UACAGAGGUCUCAAGCGUUGUUCGGAUUCAUUGGGCGUAAAGGGUGCGUAGGUGGCGCCGUAAGUCAGGUGUGAAAUUUCGGAGCUUAACUCCGAAACUGCAUUUGAUACUGCGGUGCUUGAGGACUGGAGAGGAGACUGGAAUUUACGGUGUAGCAGUGAAAUGCGUAGAGAUCGUAAGGAAGACCAGUGGCGAAGGCGGGGUCUCUGGACAGUUCCUGACACUGAGGCAACGAAGGCCAGGGGAGCAAACGGG
rnacentral:rRNA from 1 species